rnacentral:lncRNA from 1 species
ACUGGACAAGAAUGCUGAAAUCGCAGCGCAGGAUCCUGUGGGAGCCAUUCUCACCUUUGCUGCUGGAACUUUCUCACACUUGUCUUUUGCUGUGAGUUUUCUUAUAAACUCAACCUAUUGGGCGCUUGUAUUUCCAGGAUUUCUCAUGAUUUCUUAUCUAUUACAGGAGUUGUCUUCUUUUUAUCCUUCAGCAUGGCCAAAUAUCCUUUAAAAUGUGUUUUCUGUAUUUCUAUGGGUUUUAUGUGAGAAAGACAUUAUAAUGUCUUGAAAUGAAAGUUCAUCGUUUCCAUUUCUAGACUUCAGUACUGCAGUGAAGAGAUUAGUAGAUCCUCUUCAUAAAUGGUGUUGGAAUGAAGGAGAGCCAGGAUUCCCACCUGCUGUAGAGACAAAUGGUGCUGUAUUGAGCUGUUCUUGUGGACUGUGCCUGGGGAGUGGCAGAAAAACUCAAGAAACAAUUCUCUGCCUUGUCCUUUUCACCUGUGUCAUCUCCUUUACUCAUACUCCCUGAGAACAACAGGAAGGAAACAAAACGGAACAG